UCAACCGUCACUUUCAGGACCUUUGAGGUAUAAGACUACAGAUUUUCGUCUCUAAUAGCAGUUUUCGUAGAUUUUAUUCGUUUAAAAGCAAACACCCUUCAACUAGUAGGCUAUCCGAGUGGCUGUAGUGUCUUUAGGCAUUAUAUUUUACCGUGGAUGACAGUCAACUGGUGAGAUUCGAUGGCAUUUAAUGUAAGACACCAAAUCAAAGUCUUGAAACAAAUGAAUAUCAUGGAUACAUGUGUACAAGAAGCUCAAUACAGCUGAAACUAUGAAAAGGUCUUCCAAAAUUUAGGAAAACAUUAACAAGAUCUCCAUCAAAGAGGAGGAAACAACGAUAAAGUUUAAUUGCAAAUUUUUCUUCUUUUCUUUUCAUUUUUAUAAUAUACAUAGAUUUGUAUUUUUAAGUAUAUAUUGCAUUGAUAUUGUAAUAGAGAAUACAAUUUUUUAUCACUGUU